ACUUUACCAUGCAAAUAAUUUUAGUACUAAAUAAAAAGAACUGGAGGUUUUGGCACUGAUCACCCCCCAUACAGUAUACAUAUAAUAAUUAUGUAAUCUGUUACUUCCUCUGGUAUUCAGCCCCUUUAAUGAGCACUUAAUGACUCCUAGACCACUUUUGGCUACUUGCAGUGUCUCUGACUGUACAGCCUACAAAACAGUGGAGCAUCGAGGUGCCUAAUCGGCCAUUUUAUAUUUUCAUUUUUCAUAUAAUGUUUGUGCAUGCGCAAUGAACACCGCGAGUCUGCAACCACACAUUUCACAGUAUGUAGCUAGUACUCCUGCGGUCCUCUAGUGGGAACUGUGGGUCUCCAUGGCAUCUCCUUGGAGACUCUGACGUCAAUGGCUUGGAAUAUUCCCAGAUCCAGUUCCAGAACCUCAGUUCCUUUGAAGUUUGAAGGAGAAACAAAGCGUCUUGCUGGAAGAGAUGCUGUGCAAACCUUCCACUGUGUUGCAGAACCAGCGCGAGUCUUCCACUGUGUUGUUGAACCAUCGCGAGCCUUCCACUGUGUUACAGAACCAUCGCGAGCCUUCCACUGUGUUACAGAACAAUUGCGAGCCUUCCACUGUGUUACAGAACAAUUGCGAGCCUUCCACUGUGUUGCAGAACCAUCGCGAGCCUUCCACUGUGUUACAGAACCAUUGUGAGCCUUCCACUGUGUUUCAGAACCAUUGUGAGCCUUCCACUGUGUUGCAGAACCAUCACAAGCCUUCCUGCCAUGGAAGGAUAGAGCUGGAUCAUCCGACACCGUGCAGGCUGCAAAAGCUAUUGUACAGACAAGUCCUGCUGCUCCUGGGACUGAUGGAGGAUUACAAUGACUGCAUGGGGAGGGGCUCGGAUCUCACUGCCCACUACUAUCAGUGUACAUGUUUAGUCUCCAUUAUGGCAAGUCUUGCUAUGUGAUGUGGUAUACAUCCUAUGUAGGUGGAUUGUCACUGCAUGGAGAAAAGAUAAUCGGAGGGAGCAGCAAGUUCUACUAAGAGCCAGCAUCACCCACUAACCAACACACUACAAGACCUACCAGCACUACUAUACCAUGUAAUACGCCUUUUUAUUACGAUCAUGAUACACAGCCCUCCCUUGCCCAUGGAUUGAAUAAUUAUGGUCACUCGCAGGACAACUAAGAGACUGACACACAAUAAUAGACACCUAACUGCAUUUUUGCCAUUAUUAUAAUAAAAAUAAUGUAUUAAUUUUUUGCCAUUAAUUUUAUUUAAAAUUAA